rnacentral:rRNA from 1 species
AACGAACGCUGGCGGCAUGCCUAACACAUGCAAGUCGAACGAGACCUUCGGGUCUAGUGGCGCACGGGUGCGUAACGCGUGGGAACCUGCCCUUAGGUUCGGAAUAACUCCCCGAAAGGGGUGCUAAUACCGGAUAAUGUCUUCGGACCAAAGAUUUAUCGCCUUUGGAUGGGCCCGCGUUGGAUUAGCUAGUUGGUAGGGUAAAAGCCUACCAAGGCGACGAUCCAUAGCUGGUCUGAGAGGAUGAUCAGCCGCACUGGGACUGAGACACGGCCCAGACUCCUACGGGAGGCAGCAGUGGGGAAUAUUGGACAAUGGGCGAAAGCCUGAUCCAGCAAUGCCGCGUGAGUGAUGAGGGCCUUAGGGUUGUAAAGCUCUUUUACCCGGGAUGAUAAUGACAGUACCGGGAGAAUAAGCUCCGGCUAACUCCGUG